rnacentral:rRNA from 1 species
AUGAACGCUGGCGGCGGCCUAACACAUGCAAGUCGAGCGGUAACAGGUGUAGCAAUACAUGCUGACGAGCGGCGAACGGGUGAGUAAUGUUUCGGAAUCUGCCCAAUGGUGGGGAAUAACCAGCCGAAAGGUUGGCUAAUACCGCAUAAGUCCUACGGGAGAAAGCGGGGGAUCGUAAGACCUCGCGCCGAUGGAUGAGCCGAAACCGGAUUAGCUAGUUGGUAGGGUAACGGCCUACCAAGGCGACGAUCCGUAGCUGGUCUGAGAGGACGACCAGCCACACUGGGACUGAGACACGGCCCAGACUCCUACGGGAGGCAGCAGUGGGGAAUAUUGGACAAUGGGGGAAACCCUGAUCCAGCGACGCCGCGUGUGUGAAGAAGGCCUGCGGGUUGUAAAGCACUUUUAGUGGGGAUGAAAAGCUCAGGGCUAACACCUCUGGGUCUUGACCUAACCCACAGAAAAAGCACCGGCUAACUCUGUGCCAGCAGCCGCGGUAAUACAGAGGGUGCAAGCGUUAAUCGGAAUUACUGGGCGUAAAGCGUGCGUAGACCGUUACGUAAGUCGGGUGUGAAAGC